rnacentral:lncRNA from 1 species
AGACUCUGGGUUGCUCCUUGCAAUUCCUCAAACACCUCCUAGGUUCUCCUUUAUCAAAGAUAGCCAUGUGAAGCGGGGGAAAUGAAGAAAACCUGGUCUGAGAGAUUGAACUGGCUGAACCCAAGGAUCUAGAAGAGAGUAUUGAUUAGACUCUACUCAAAUUAUUUUUCUGGGAGCCGAACUGAUAUUAAUGCCAAGCACACUCCUGCUUCAAGACCUCAGGUAUUUGUAGUCAUUCUUUUCUUUUUUAAAAUAA